UUGGGUCUCACAGACACUAACCACAAGCUAUUUCCUUUAGUUCUGCGCUGAAUCACAUAAGAAACGUUUCAUGGGUUGUCUUCCUUUGGCAUAUAGCUAAAGGGAAACUGUAGUUGUUCAGUAAUUUUGCUUCAUUGUGAAAGCAGACAGUAUGGAGGCGAUUCAAGAAUGGGUCAAACAAUCAAAGGGAAUUGUGCCUAAUGUGGCUUGUAGCUUCUGCCUUGUGGUCUUGGAGAAGAUUCUGGAGCUGGAGGUUCGGUGUCCCUGCAAUUAUAUAUAUAAAAUGUUCUUUACGAUUGCAUUCUUUAUCAUUCCUGCCCUUUUAUCAUUCUUGCUGAUGCUACAAGUUCAAGGAUCUAGGGGUAACAUAGUAAAAUGGAAGGCUUACUUGUCAAGCCUCAUCCCUUCGUUGGUGUGGUGGAUCGUACUGUUCUUUGAUGGCAGAUACGUUGCUUGUGCCAUGACAAAAUUAAAUGAAACAGGGCUCAUUCGUAAUGAAGAUUUUUCUGUGAAAAUGUGUGAGGAAGCAGGGAAAGAUCAACAUCAGAAUUUCCUUUUUUGGGAAAUCUGUUCUCAGGGCAUUGGUAUGGCUCUGCUCUUGGUCGCCUGUGGGGCAGUUAUAGUAUCCAUAUGCAACAACUACACCUGUUUCUUCUUGUUUUAGGGCAUUGGUAUGGCUCUGCUCUUGGUCGCCUGUGGGGCAGUUAUAGUACAUUUACAUUUACAUUUAAGUCAUUUAGCAGACGCUCUUAUCCAGAGCGACUUACAAAUUGGUGCUUUCACCUUAUGACAUCCAGUGGAACAGCCACUUUACAAUAGUGCAUCUAG